rnacentral:lncRNA from 1 species
UGAGCAGCCUCCUUGCAGGCACCACCCCACCCUCUGAGGACUCCUUCAUUUAUACCCAGAAAGGCAGAAUGGGAUGGAGCUUCAUGAAGUGCUGUUCACUGCUAUGCCCUGGUCCCUAGAUGAGGUCUGACACGUGGCUUUGUGGCACUAGAUGAUUCCAAUGUACAGCCAAUGAUGAGCAGCUGCUGGGCUGAAGGGACUGGGGCCAUUUUAUACCAGUUGUAGGAUGUUACACAGAAAUGCCUGAAAAGCAAGGAGCAGCUAUCAGAAUGUUUGGUGACACAGCUCCUCCUGUCGUGGUUCCUUCGGCAUGGACUUCACAUUCAGCAGAUCCAUGAGGUGUUCCCUUUCGGAUGAGCUCCAAGGUCUUAAGAGAGCAUCUCUAGUCUGCGUGAGUCCGUCUGAACGACGGUCCUGAGCAAGAACCACCUAUAACCAUCUGCUCAAAAUAACUCAGGGGAAGUCAAAGCUUUCUAUGUGGAAGGUGACUGAAACCACAUACACAGACCACUGCAGCAUUCCUGACAUUAUGGAACUUGGAAAUGAUUCCAAACAUGGCCAUAGCUUGAGUAACAUGUUUUGCUAUGACAAGAACUUGGACUGUAGUCCUUCCCCCUCUCAAGAAUGUGACAUCACACCUUAUCAGAUCCUACGAGUGAGCUACUGACCUCAACCACUGAACUUCAAACUAUGUAAAAACCUAAGGGUUCGACAGACACUUUGAGAGCUUGGGCUGUGGCAAGCUACACUCUGUCAGCCUCUCUUCGACAGGGCCCCACCCUGCUAGCCUUUGAACUUGGAAGCAUCGCCCACAAACACCAGUGCCACCCUCUAGCCUUGAGGGACCAUAUAUGUCUCUGUGAAUCUCCGUUGCAUUGGACAGCUUCUCUCCCAAGAGCUGCUCUUAUAAAAGAGACACACCACAUUUUAAUGAGGCUUCGCUCUCCACAGAGGCCUGCUUCCAUCCUAAUUGAGCAAGUAGACUUUAGUAACUUUGGAACUCACUCACCCCGUGACUAAUACACCCUGUCUACCCAGCGCAUUCCCUGUGAGAUUUGUUCAUGUUGUUCUCCCCCUCCUUAAGCAUUGUGAACCUAGGAAAAAUAUCAUCUCUGUAGGGCAAUAAACCAUGUGAUUUGUGAAAUCAUACUUUGAGCAUCUCCUAAUUU